UACACGCUGUGACUAGCAUAUCAAUAAGCGGAGGAAAAGAAACUAACAAGGAUUCCCCUAGUAACGGCGAGUGAAGCGGGAAGAGCUCAAAUUUGAAAUCUUAAAGGGUUUCCCUUUACGAAUUGUAGUUUAAAGAAGUGUUUUCUGUUGAGGUUUUGGUAAAAGUUCUUUGGAAUAGGACAUCAUAGAGGGUGAGAAUCCCGUAUUUGACCUUUACUUUCAACUUUGUGAUACCCUUUCAAAGAGUCGGAUUGUUUGGGAAUGCAGUCCAAAAUGGGUGGUAAAUUUCAUCUAAAGCUAAAUAUUGGCGAGAGACCGAUAGCGAACAAGUACCGUGAGGGAAAGAUGAAAAGAACUUUGAAAAGAGAGUUAAACAGUACGUGAAAUUGUCAAAAGGGAAGCGUUUGACACCAGUGUUGUUUUUCUGAAAAUCAAUUAAAGAACUGUUUAUGCUAAGUUGUUUAGACUUUAUCAGCUAUCUGUUUAGUUUUGAGCUUUUCUUUAAUGCACUUUUCAGUUAACAAGUCAACAUCAAUUUCUUUUGCUGUAAAAAAGCUUGAGGAAGGUGGCUUGAGAUUCGUCUUAAGUGUUUAUAGCCUCUUGCCUAUGCAGUCGGAGAGAUUGAGGUCUGCAGCGUAGAUCCUUCGGGGCUAAAUGCAUUUGUGCUAAGUUAUAGCAUUUUAUAGACAACUUGUUGACUAUGAUUUGUCUUGUAGCUUACUCGCUUAUGUUAUUUUACCUACGCUUAGGAUGUUGACGCGCGUGUGUGCGUG
rnacentral:rRNA from 1 species